rnacentral:rRNA from 1 species
GACGAACGCUGGCGGCGUGCCUAAUACAUGCAAGUCGAGCGAAGCGGCGGAUGGGUGAGUAACGCGUGGGUAACCUGCCCUUAAGUCUGGGAUACCAUUUGGAAACAGAUGCUAAUACCGGAUAAUAAAGGAUGGACCUGCGAUGCAUGAGCUAGUUGGUAAGGUAACGGCUUAACAAGGCGAUGAUGCAUAGCCGAGUUGAGAGAAGGAUCGGCCACAUUGGGACGGAGACACGGUCCAGACUCCUACGGGAGGCAGAAGUGGGGAAUAUUGCACAAUGGGCGCAAGCCUGAUGCAGCCAUGCCGCGUGUAUGAAGAAGGCCUUCGGGUUGUAAAGUACUUUCAGCGGGGAGGCGUUACUCGCAGAAGAAGCACCGGCUAACUCCGUGCCAGCAGCCGCGGUAAUAC